GAGUCCACAGAAAUAAAAAUCCAAAUACCCUAGCCCUGACUCUGUGCUAUUUACUGGCCAUAUGACCUCGGGCAAGUCCCUUUACGUCUUAGAGCCUCAGUUUUCCCACCUGUACGUAGAGAUUAAUUACACUGCUCUGCCUUCUUCACAGGGUAGGGAGGAUUAAUUGUUGCUUACUCCUUAAAUUAUAAAACAUUGUGCACAUAUAAUGGAUUAUGAUCACUAUUAGUAAUAAUUAAAUAUAAAAUAUGAAAUAUAAGUGUAUGCUCUAUAAAUUUAUAUUAAAUAUGCAGCUUAAUUCAUUAGUAAUAAUUAAAUAUAAAAACUCAAUACAGCAAGUAAGUGUUACAAUGGGGAUAACGGAGUUUGCCUUAGAAAUUCACCAGAAAAUAUUAGAAGCCAGGGCAUUAAAGAGACUCGGAGACAUCUGUCAGGUCCCAGAGACAUAUCACCCAAAUGCCCAGGAGCUGAAACAGAGUCAGGGGGAAGGAGCCCCGUGAGAGACCGGGCCAGGACUGGCCCAGCUGGGG